UUAAUCAGUCUCGAAUAAAAAAAUGACGCAGAGUCGUAAAGUGCCAUAUUCAGCACUCGCCGAUGACGUCACUCGUCGAUUAGCUCAGUGACAGCUCGCCGUGCGCACGCUCUUACCGCCGAUCUGUCGGUAGGCGACAGCUGACUUUCUCACAGGCCUCAAGUCAUUACGGAGCUAUGCGUAACACAAACAAUUCCGCGCUCCCAGAGUGUUUAUCUCGUGGCACAGAGCGCGGUGUGCCCGCACAUCAAAGUCCGCCCAGCGCUGCAGCAGCUGCGCUCGGAUCCUGUACACACCCUUCCUGUUUGCCGCGGUCUACCUUGGGGCUGUUAUGUUCCCAACAGAGCGAUGAUAACCCCCCUCUGCCUCGCUCCUUUCACUCCGGCCCGCAACACUACCACCGGCCACCGCCGCCUAAACAGUGUCCGUUUGAAAACAGCAGAACCAUACGUCACCUCAGUCCCUCGGCCCCGCUAAGAGCCGUGUUUCUAUGGUUACCUGCAGUAAGACCCAGGCUCUGGAUCUACCAUCGUUCAAAACCCCACCGCGCUCUUCAACCCUGGGUCAAGACCCUCAUAACGCUGUUUCCUCAGUCAGACUGGGCACAUUUCUCUGUGAGAGAGGGGCCAACUGAGCGUCCAGCUGCCAUCACACAAAAAAAUCUUCACAGGCGUGCGGCAGCCAUGGCGAGCUACAUCAAACGGUGCUGCUCAGACACCCCCAUACACUUAUAACUUCAGAGCCACAUUAAGACCUUUUGCCCCCCUCUGUCUACCAGACCACCACACAGGGUGCCCUUAAGAAUAUUUAAAAUGUUGUGACAUUUUAAAUCACAUAGGGGUGUGACACAAUCUCUCUCAUCUGUUUUAUAGUGUAUAAUCCGCACACAUAAAAGACCUGAACUGCACCUGCUGUGUUUGAAACGGUGAACAUUCAUCAGGCCGUGGAAAACUCAGUAGCUGAGCAUCUGGGAGCUGUCAUGGACACCUCACCUCCUGCAUUUCUUUCUGGUGCGAACGCAGCAAGAUUCCUGCAGCUGAUGGCGACCCUUCUGAUGACAGGAUUCUCCUCAAACUGAAGGCGUCCAGGGCAGCUGCUUCCCUUCUAGACAGAGUGACCAGAAGCUACUGAUCCGGGAACAGAGCCAGACAAAUUAUGCAAUAGCAUUAAAGUCAGAGAAAUUAGGAUCAUAUAUGAAUAGAUGUGGACGUUUGGAUGAAUUAAAAGCUUUUAUCUCAUAUGAAAGUAUAUAGUUAGAAGCGUUUGUUCAAAAUAUGUGUUAGAAAUGGAAGGAAACUGGGCAGCAGCCGUCUUUAUGUCACAAUCCGGGACAGCUAUUUUCUAUCUAUAGUAUAAAAUUCAAGUUUAACUGCAAUAUGUUUUUUGGGGGGAAAGACCAAAAUCUACAUAUCAGUGUUUCCAAUAUUAUGCUUUAAUAAUAUUUAGCUGCAGAAAAAAAUUCAAAGACCAUUUUUCUAGAUAUAUAAGGUAUUCGAUUUACAUUGUGUGUGUUUAGGUACAAUUGUAAUUUUGGUUUCUUUCUGUGAACUAUUGACAAUAUGUCUACAAAAUUUUAAAUAAAAAUAUUGUUUCUAUUUGCAUUUUUAGCAGAAAAUGAAACUGGAGAAACGGGUCAAAAUAACAGAAACGAUACUCAAAUACUGCAAAUAAAACGUGCACUUUUAAGCAAUGCAACAGUUAUAUUUGUACAUGCAUUCAGGAAAGGUCAGAAAUGUAUUUUUUUAUAUUACUACCCUUGUUUUUUUAUCAGUCUUGUUAUGCUGUCAGUCUUUCACAUGACUUUGUCACUCCUGAGGUUUGAUUUUGUUGAAAUUCAACAACAUUGAACUGGAAUGGCCACAAUACAUCUAGAACUGUUGAUUCAAUGACAAUUUAUGAUGGUCUCUUAAUUUUUCCAUGGAUGUAUUUCACAUCAGCGGUAAAACCUAACAGCAAUGCUCCGGUAAUGGCUUGUAUGGCAAGUUUCGGUUUUAUUGCAAAGUGUUAAAAAACCUAAAAAGAAUUGUAAUUUGUUCAGCAUUUAGCCUUGAAACAUUCUUUUAAGAUCUGACACUGCAUCAAAACCCCUGGGUUAUGAGUGCCGACAGUGAAAACAAAGCUAUUGUGUAUAUAAUGUAGGUGCCGCAGUGAAUAAAAGCUAUGCAUAACAAUUGAGUAACAAUGUUUGAACAAUGAAAGCUGAAUGUAAUGGGGGAAACAUGGCUCAUGUAUCCUGACAGGAAGCUCAGGUCAUAAGACAGGAAGUAGAAAAGGGGCACCUGUCUGUGUGUGUUCUCACAGUGGUGGGUCGAGAGGCAAGCCAUGUCAAUGCAAGUCAUCUUUGUAAGAAAAACUAACACAGCAAGCUAUGGCACAGAUUAAAAUCUAUGUCAAAGAAUGAUGAACCUGUUCUCAUUGAUAGCCAUUUAAAAUGUCCACAAUGAUUUUGUUCCAACGCUGACUU